UAAUAACUAAGGCAACAACAACAGUAUCUAGCAAAUUCAACAAUUUCUUCUUGUAUCACACAUUAGUACUGAAUAAUCGAGAAGCAUAAAUGAAGAACAAUUAAUAAAUGACAUUGAAAAUUCUGUGAAUUCGAGUCACAUAUUUAUUGGUUGCCAUAUAACCCAUUUUGCAUGCAUAAGUGCAACAAUACUAAAUCAGGACAAACAAAGACCCUGCAAAAAUUAACAUCAGACCCUCCAAAUGCUACAAUACAUUGUUCUGAUGAAUCUCUUACAUUGUUACCUUUUGCUUUACACAUAAAUACCUCCUCCAUAUACAAAGUGUACUGUAGCUUUUAAUUUUUAAGAGAUGCUGGAAUGCUUAGCAUAUACAAUGAUGCUAAAGUCAAUGCUGUAAGGCUUGCUUCUUCAUCCAUAAAUAAAACACAUUUGCAUCCAUUCAGUCAAAUUAGCUCCAUAUAGAAAAAAAGGUGGUUAUAAUUAGCUCCUCUUUCAGGUUCACGGUUUAAAAGUCGAGCAUGCCUGCUGUCUUGAUUAAAUCCACCAUCCUCUUCCAAUAGCUUGUGUUAAUUCUUCCAAGGAAAUAUUCAGUUGAGGUGUUAUUUUAUUCUGCACUGCUGUUAGUUGUCUAAUUUACGCCAAGUCCCUGCAGUGCUUUCCUUAAGCCAUCCUCUUUGUCUUGCCUUUGAAAUUUACCAAAUCUUACAAGAAAUCAAUACUUAAUUGAUUAUUCACUUUUCUGCAGCUUCAAACAGCAAGCACGCAUAAGAUCCUGGCGUAGUCACCCAAUUUCCAAUGCAGUAGGUUGUCUGGUGGCAAGGAUCUGCAGGUAUCCAACAAAGCUCUGCAGUGCCAUGGAGUGCCAGCAUCCGAUGAGGAAAAUGAAGAUACACUAACGAAGCUGGGAAAGUUCCCUUGUGAGACGGAUCCAUCUCAGCGCUUUAUAUCAAAACAAUCCUACAAGGCAGUAGCAAUCGGAUAUACAGGAAUACUAAUUUUCCCCCCUGCAGUUAUUCCUUUGUUUCUUGCUUACCCUUUUCUUCUCUUGGCACUGAACUGGAGUAUCCAAAGUGGCAUCGAACUCUGAGAACUCCACACUGGAAUAGGGGGCGAGAGCUGUACAAUGUCUCUGGCACAGAAUAAGGAUGGCAAGCACGUAACGUUACGAAAUGUAGGACAAAUUCAAGAGAGAGAGAGAGAAUGAGAGAAAGAGAGAGAGAGAAAGAGACAGAUGGCGGAUCUGGCUGGAUGCCAAAGCCAGUGAAAUGAAUUACAUUGCUGAAUAACUGUACACCAUUGAUUCUGCCACUUGUUGCUGCUUGGCAAAAAAAAAAAAAAAAAAGGAUGUGGGGGGAGAAGAAAAAGAAAAGAAAAGAAAGGCCCCGAUGUUGCCAGGACCCUACUUGCACAUCAUGCGACUGGCAUGCAACUUUGGAGUCUCAAAACUCACAAGAGGAAGAGUGAUGUGCUAUGUGAAAGGCAAGCAUGAAGGUGUGCAUGAUACCAAAACAGAAAAAGAGAAAGAAAUCACAGUGGAAACAUUCAAACCCUUCAGAAAUUUGCAAAUUAGAGUUCUGUCAGCAGCUCUAGGGUCUAUUGUUAGGUGCACUUAAAAUGCCAGAUUAAAUAUUAAUAUGCAGUUAGAGUUGUGCUAUUUUGCAGCUCCUGAAACCCUAUUAGUAAAUCAUGAUCUGGUGACUGAUACAAGAAAUUUCAAGGCACCAGCAACAAUGCAAGAAAUGCUUCUCUGACUGACGGGUCACUGAUGGGUUAGUAAAUCAGAUUCCAGGCUUUUAUAACUGUAUGCAGAUAUGUAAAUUUCCCUGGAAUGGGGAAAGAACGAAACAACCUACAGAGCAAUUUUAUGUAUAGAUGGGAAACUGAAACACAGUGACUAGUUCUCUUUAUUCAAUAUUUGAUCUCAAAAUGGUUGAUGUCCUUGAGCUCGUUGUUUCAAGAGGUUACCUGCCUAAUAUUGUAACAUCUCUACAACUGCAGUCCUUUUCAGAAGAAGUUGGCAAGCUCUGUUCAUCUGAUGCUUGAUAGUGAUGGAAAUCUCAAUCGUUCCCUUGAUAGUGAUGGCAGUCUCAAUCAAAAUAGCCUUUACUACUAAUACCCUGAGUUUCGCUGUGAAAAUUUCACCUUGAAAAUGUGCACCUUGAAAAUGUUAAUAAGUGUGCACCUGUGUGCAAAUAAAAAGCACACAGGACAAUGCACACAUUAUAACAUGUAAAUUGUAUUAUGAAACUACGUUAUGUUAUGAAACAUGAAUGGUUAAGAAUGUGUAUACCUAGAGGAAUAGCAGGCACAAUAGCAUUUUAAACAAAAAGGGUGAAAUAGGUAUAUUAUGCAAUAUAAACAAAUAAAUGUGCACAUUGUUGUUGUAUGCCA